GGCUGUCAGGCUGUCUAGUCACAGAGGAAGGCUGUGCUUCUCUGGUCUCAGCUCUGAGGUCAAACCCCUCACACCUGAGAGAGCUGGACCUGAGCUACAAUCACCCAGGAGACUCAGGAGUCAGACUGCUCUCUGCUGGACUGGAGGAUCCACACUGCAGACUGGAGAAACUCAAAUGUCUGUGAUCUCACACUGGACCUAAACACAGUAAACAGACACCUCUCUCUGUCUGAGGAGAACAGAAAGGUGACAUGUAGGAGAGAGAAGCAGCCGUAUCCUGAUCACCCAGAGAGAUUUGAGGACUGGAGACAGGUGCUGUGUGGAGAGGGUUUGACUGGGCGCUGUUACUGGGAGGUAGAGUGGAGUGGGAGAGGGGAGGUUGAGUGGAGUGGGGGGGCUGUUAUAGGAGUGACAUAUAAAGGAAUCAACAGGAGAGGAGUGGUUAAGUACUGUUGUCUUGGAUCCAAUGACAAGUCCUGGAGUCUGUUCUGCUAUGACAACAGUUACUCUGCCUGUCACAAUAAUAACUCCACUACCAUAGACGUCCCCUCCUCCAGCUCCCACAGAGUAGGAGUGUAUCUGGACUGGUCAGCCGGCACUCUGUCCUUCUAUAGAGCCUCCUCUGACACACUGACCCACCUGAUCACAUUCACCUCCACAUUCACUGAGCCCCUCUAUCCAGGGUUUUGGGUUUAUUCUGUUGGCUCUUCAGUGUCCCUGAAAUAAUAACUGGACACACACACACACACACACACACACACACACACACACACACACACACACACACACACACACACACACACACACACACACACACACACACACACACACACACACACUGGACAAACACACACACACACACACUGGACAAACACACACACACUGGACACACACACAAACACACACACACAAACACACACAAACACACACACACACACUGGACACACAAACUGGGCACACACACACUGGACACACACACACACUGGAACACACACACACACACACACACACACACACUGAACACACACUGAACACACACUGAACACACACAAACUGGACACAAAAUGGACACACACACUCAACACACACACUGAACAAACACACACAAACACAUUCUGGACACACGCACACUGGACAAACGAAAACACACACACACUCACACACAUACACACACACACACUGGACACACACACACACACACACACACACACACACACUGGACACACACACACACACACACACACACACACACACACACACACUGGUCAAACAAAAAUACACACACACACACUGGACACACACACACACACACACACACACACACACUGGACACACACACACACACACACACACACACACACACACACACACACACUGGUCAAACAAAAAUACACACACACACACACACUGGACACACACACACACACACACUGGACAAACAAAGUGGACAAACACACACACUGGACACACACACACACAAACACUGGAUACACACAGACACACACACACUGGACACACACACUAGACAAACACACACACACACACACUGGACUCACACACACACACUGGACACACACACACACUGGACACACACACACACACACUGGACACACACACACACACACUGGACACACACACACACACACUGGACACACACACACACACACUGGACACACACACACACACUGGACACACACACACACACACUGGACACACACACACACACUGGACACACACACACACACACUGGACACACACACACACACUGGACACACACACACACACUGGACACACACACACACACUGGACACACACACACACACACUGGACACACACUGGACAAACACACACACACUGGACACACACUGGACAAACACACACACACACACACACUGGACAAACACACACACACACACACACUGGACAAACACACACACACACACACUGGACAAACACACACACACACUGGACAAACACACACACACACUGGACACACACACACACUGGACACACACACACACACACUGGACACACACACACACACACUGGACACACACACACACACACUGGACACACACACACACACUGGACACACACACACACACUGGACACACACACACACACACACACACACACACACACACUGGACACACACACACACACACACACUGGACAAACACACACACACACACACACUGGACAAACACACACACACACACACACACUGGACAAACACACACACACACACACACACUGGACAAACACACACACACACACACUGGACAAACACACACACACACACACUGGACAAACACACACACACACACACUGGACAAACAGUAACAUUCUCAGAACAUACUGCACUUGUUUUAUCCUGUUUUAGAUGUAUCCUCUGUUUAAACAUUUAAACUCUUACAAUAACACUGUUAAAAUACCAAUGUGAUCAUUUCUUGUCUUUUAUGUUGGAAAAACAAAUUGUACAAUUAUAUGUGGACAUACGCUCCAUAGUUGUACAAGUAUAUAUGAUUAUAUUGUACUUUUCAUAAUAAAACAUAUUUGAAA
rnacentral:lncRNA from 1 species